GGGUAUUAAGGAAGCUUCUGAAGUCCCCACUCCAUGCGUCGCCCUAGAAAAUGGUGAGUGUGAUGUUAGUGUUUAUGAGGCUCUUGAUAAUCCUGCAGUUGGAAAAAAGAAGAUUGGUUUUGCUACAUUUGCCACUGGAAUUGUUCACGGAUUGCAACCAGAUGCACUGAUGAUGGUCUUGCCUGCACUUGCUUUGCCUUCUCGCUUGGCUGGUGCUGCCUUUCUCAUCAUGUUCUUACUUGGGACUGUAGUUGCAAUGGGAAGCUAUACAGUGUUUAUAGGUUCAUGUAGUCAAGCUUUAAAGGAUAGGAUACCCAGAAUUACUGAGAAACUCACCUGGGCAUCUUCUCUUGUGGCAAUUGCUCUCGGAUUUGC
rnacentral:lncRNA from 1 species